rnacentral:lncRNA from 1 species
UCCCACCUUGCAGCUUGGGGGCACCUCUCUGCAAAGACCCAGCCUUCUCAGGAACUAAGACAGCUAGAGGGAGGGCUCACCCUUCGGCUCCCCUCCAAAGGGACAGGAGCAACCUGGAAGUAGUUGCUGUUUAACCCCUUCCGAGGUUGGUGUGCAUGAGCCUGCUUGUGCUAAAACCGGUGAGAUAAGCAUCCUAGAUUAGGAUGCUGACUCUAGAAGUCCAGAGGGACCAGAAGGGAUGCCAAGCAGGGGAACCGCAGAAAUUCGUACAGCAUUAUAAAACACAGCUCAGUUUUUAAAAUCCAGUAAUGAAUGCAAAUGAAAUAAACCUGUAUUAUCACGUUUGCAUCACAACUUGACUCAGAGAGGAAAUGUCCUCAAGGCCUUUGAAACACAGGAAUGUUGAGCCCCUAGACUGUUGUGUUAUCUUUCACUGGGACAACCUUGGUGGCCAGCCCUCCUGGUGGAGGGUAUUAGUGGUCUUAUAUCCCCAAACUAUUAUAUUAUACUGUAAUGAAGUAAAAAAAAAAAUCAUAUGUAUGGGAUAGAGAGAUGGCUCAGCGGUUAAGAGCACUGACUGCUCUUCCAAAGGUCUUGAGUUCAAAUCACAGCAACCACAUGGUGCCUCACAACCAUCGGUAAUGAGAUCUGAUGUCCUCUUUUGGUGUGUCUGAAGACAGCUACAGUAUACUUACAUAUAGUAAUAAAUAAAUCUUUGAGCAGAAUCGAGUAGGACCAGAGUGGGGCCGGAGUUCAGUUCCCAGCAACCACAUGAUGGCUCACAACCAUUUGCACAGCUACAGUAUAUUCAUAUGCAUAAAAAUUUUAAAAUGUUAAAAAAUCAUUUGUAUAACAUACAUUAUUCAAAACAAUUCAGUUUUGCAUAUAUAUAUAAUUAAUAAUUGUGUUAUUAUAAUACCAUUAAGCUUUGCU